GACAAUGUCACCGAUAAUGAACAAGUUCAAGAAGUGGAAAACCAUGUUUUAAGUGCUUAUCAUUUAAUUAAACUUAAUUUCCAUACAAUGAAGUUGAAUUAACACAUAAGACGAGUCAUUCUCAUUCCUGAGGUAAUUUAAUUAACUAAUUUUAAUUCAAUUGCCAUUUAGUUUUAUUGUAGUCGUAAACUAAUUAUGUGUUUUAACUAACAUAUAAAGCAUCAAUACUUGCAAACUGUACCUGGAUAUCCAAUCUAGUCGAAUAGUGAGUGUUGGUAAAGUACACAACUCAACAGAUGAUAUGUUGUAUAAUGCACAUAUACCACCCCAUCAUGUGAAAGUCUCGACUGAUGUUACAAUUGAUGAUGAUGCAUUUCUAUCAAUUCCUCC
rnacentral:lncRNA from 1 species